rnacentral:lncRNA from 1 species
AGAAAGGGAAGUAACCUUGGUGGCUGAGGAGAGAAGAAGACGUGAUGAUCAGAGAUUAUUGUGGUAAAGAAUAGAACAUGGUUAAUCUAUAGAAGGAGGCAUGAUCAUGUCUUUAUAAAUGAUAUACAAGUAUUGAUAAGGUCAGACGUCAAUAUUUCUGCGAAAGACCAAGUGUAUAAUUUUUAUUAUUUAUGACUAAUUCUAGUUGACAAAACAAUAUAAUAUGACUAGUUCACACGGGAAAUAUUAUACAGCAUAUUCAGACCAUUAUUAUUGACAGUAUGUCAAUAGGUUUAUCAGCAUCUAAGUAUUGAAAAAAAAUAAUUAGGAAAGAGAGAGAAUGAAAAUAUUUCUCGUCGAGAGACUCUUAAAACAUAUGUAGAAACUAUAUCUCCAUUUGUCUUUUUUUU